UAAGACGAACCGUGCGAACGUUAUUCGGAAUCACUGGGCUUAAAGGGAGCGUAGGCGGGCUAUCAAGUCUGGGGUGAAAUCCCGCGGCUCAACCGUGGAACUGCCUCAGAUACUGACGGCCUCGAGGGAGAUAGGGGCAUGCGGAACUGUAGGUGGAGCGGUGAAAUGCGUUGAUAUCUACAGGAACUCCGGUGGCGAAAGCGGCGUGCUGGAUCUCUUCUGACGCUGAGGCUCGAAAGCUAGGGGAGCAAACGGG
rnacentral:rRNA from 1 species